GACAAACGCUGGCGGCGUGCCUAAUACAUGCAAGUUGAGCGCUGAAGGUUGGUACUUGUACCAACUGGAUGAGCAGCGAACGGGUGAGUAACGCGUGGGGAAUCUGCCUUUGAGCGGGGGACAACAUUUGGAAACGAAUGCUAAUACCGCAUAAAAACUUUAAACACAAGUUUUAAGUUUGAAAGAUGCAAUUGCAUCACUCAAAGAUGAUCCCGCGUUGUAUUAGCUAGUUGGUGAGGUAAAGGCUCACCAAGGCGAUGAUAUAUAGCCGACCUGAGAGGGUGAUCGGCCACAUUGGGACUGAGACACGGCCCAAACUCCUACGGGAGGCAGCAGUAGGGAAUCUUCGGCAAUGGACGAAAGUCUGACCGAGCAACGCCGCGUGAGUGAAGAAGGUUUUCGGAUCGUAAAACUCUGUUGGUAGAGAAGAACGUUGGUGAGAGUGGAAAGCUCAUCAAGUGACGGUAACUACCCAGAAAGGGACGGCUAACUACGUG
rnacentral:rRNA from 1 species